CAGCCGCCGCCAGAGCCCACUGCUGCUCCGCGCUGCGCUGCCAGCGGGCACAGAGCCUCGGAGGGGCCCGCAGGGCUCCCCCUGCAGCGGGUGGACGCCCUAAUUAGCAGGGAAAUUGCAGGAGGAGCGGGCAAUCGCUAAUGAGACCCCGGCUCUGCGAAGCGCAGCCAGUGGCUGAGUGCACAGGCUCAGCCAGGAUGCUCCUGCAGCUCCCCUGCGCAGAGGGAAGGAGAAUUGCUGCUGCUCUGUGCUCCUAGAAAGAUUAUUAAGGAGGGGAAGAAAGUUAGAAGCAGAACAAAUUGGAGCCAGCUCGGUGUUUGAACAGAGGGUAAUGGUGUUGGGAUGAUUUGCAUGCACCGCUGCCGCCGCCUGAGAACCCCGACGUGUUUUAUAAAUUCUUGCACUCCAAGCAGAUGCAGUGUUUGGGUGCUGCAGUUGUCCUGCUGUGGGAGCCGUGACAAAAGCUCCCAUUUCCUCGAUCAAAGACUUUACCAAAGCCGUUCCCUGCUCCCCAAGGUAAAACCACAAAAGCUGGGCGCUGACGCAGCGAUGGGCACUUGGAUGGGUGACACCACCUGAGCCCAUGGUGUAACCUCAGUGUAAAUCUUGUGGCCACUGGGAAGGUUUUUCUUGAUUUCGUCACCUGCUCCUCACCCCUGAUGCAGGUGAGCACCAGGACUACCACCACCAGCAGAAAUCAUUUAAAGAGAUGUCCCUAGAAGGUCGUUAGCUCUUCAGGUGUUGUUAAUUAGAGAUGUAUAAAUUGAAAAAUAAGCACUGUGUUGACAUAUGAGGGGAGGGGAGACUCAGUGGUUUUCCAGCUCAACCAACAUCCACGCCUUAUCCACGUAGGUGUGGGAAAGCUGGAAAUGCAUUAUACCCUCUGGAAAACAGAUAUAAUAAAAUCAGAACAGAAAACAACCACAUAUAAUAUAAAUUAUAUUUAUUAUAAACAUCACAAUUUUCCAGCAAGUCCAACUGCUACUUUAAAGCAAGCAAGAACAAGCUGGAAUUAAGUGAGCUGGAGGAAGCCGGAGCACCUGCCAGGUCAGCACCUGGGGGAAGGGCUGAAAGCCCCCGGUCCUUGCCCAGCAGCACACAGAGGGAUCUGUGCCGAGGAUGCAGCUUGGGGUGGGCACAGGUUUGGCUUUGCUGUGCUGGCGUGGCAAGGGGAGAGGUGGAGCUGUGUUUGAUUUCUGGGACUAAGCAGCAGAACAAAUCCUUGAGGGUGAUCCCAGAGGUUUGUUCCCUCCCCAGGACUGCCUGUGAGCCCACAAACUGAAGCCAGGCUUUGAUGCCCACUUUCCACCGAGGGAGGAGAUGCUGCGACCAGUUUCUUGUCCAAAGAGAUGCCUCACACCUCCAGCAGCAGGAAGGCUCCCAGAGCCAGGCAGGACACUGCAGUCUGCUGUCACCCUGUGGGGCCACACCAUCAGAAUAAGGGGGGCACUGUGUAUGGGGAAACAUCCUUAAUCCAGAAA